rnacentral:rRNA from 1 species
UCUAAUUGCCCCUAGAUUCAAUUUUAAAGAUAAACAGCAUCCGAUCAUGCUGCGUUAGGGAUGUUGCCCGUAAGGGGCGAAAUACAAGCGUAAAAAAAAGAGGAUUUGAAUCGAGUAUUAAAAUCAGGUUCAGGCUUUGCAUGAAACUUGAUUUUAAACUCGAUGGAUCCUCUU